rnacentral:lncRNA from 1 species
GCUAUUCCCAUGUGUGCAACUAAUACAUAAUGACAUUGAAAUUGAACAUUAUCAUAAUUGGAUCAUGAUCAUACAAGUUCAAAUACAUAUGGAGAAAGAAGGAAAGAAAUUAAAUAUUGCAAGGGUUUAAACACUAAUCAGUAGCAGAAUCAAAAGAGUGAAGAGUGCAAUAAGCUAAACCCUAAAUGCUCGGUGCUUCAGAGUUCACAAGAGCCUCGAGAAUGGGUUCUGAGUAUUG